UACGAAGGGGGCUAGCGUUGCUCGGAAUUACUGGGCGUAAAGGGCGCGUAGGCGGCACUGUUAGUCAGGCGUGAAAGUCCUGGGCUCAACCUGGGAACUGCGCUUGAUACGGCAGAGCUAGAGGAUGGAAGAGGCUCGCGGAAUUCCCAGUGUAGAGGUGAAAUUCGUAGAUAUUGGGAAGGACACCGGUGGCGAAGGCGGCGAGCUGGUCCAUUACUGACGCUGAGGCGCGACAGCGUGGGGAGCAACAG
rnacentral:rRNA from 1 species